rnacentral:lncRNA from 1 species
UGAAUCCAGCACCUUAUACUGAGCUACAUCCCCAGCCCCAUUUUUUAAGAGGCAGAAUCUUACUAAAUCUCUAAGUUGUCCUGGUUGGGCUUGAACUUGUGAUCCUCAUCUUCAUGCCCCUGCAGUAUGCUGAAAUUAUAGGGAUGCACCAUCAUGCCCAGCUCUAAAUAGCUCACCUAAAAGAGACAAAUCACUAGGCAUGGUGAUACAUACCUGUAAUCCCAGUCUUUGGGAGACUGAGUCAGGAGGGUUGCAAGUAUGAGUCCCACCUUAGCCAUUUAGUGAGACCCUGUCCCAAAAUAAAAAAGGGCUGGGGCUGCAGCUCAGUGAGAAGGCCCUGGGUUCAACUUCCACUUAUACAAUUAAAAUAAAAUAAGCAACUCUACUUUACUUUCCUGAGACACACAAAACGCUGCUCUAAAGCAGAACCCAACCCAGAGCUGGUGCUGCUCAGAAGUGUUCAUCUCGGCUCCCACCUGAGAAGUCUUAUAACAAAACAAGGCUUCCAGCAUUUUUAGACAUUCAUGUGUUCUUCUCGAAGUGCCACAUGGAGCUCCAUGGGAAAACAGGAAAUCAUCUGCAUGUGAAAGGCAACAGGUUCGGAGAGUGCUGCCUGUCCAUAUUAAUGAAAUUGCGA